rnacentral:rRNA from 1 species
AGAUCUUGACAUCCUCGGGAGAGUAUAGAAGUAUACUUGUGCCUUCGGGAACCGAGAGACAGGUGGUGCAUGGCU